GUUUCAGGUCUGAUUCAGUAUGUAGAUACAAGGCACUUCACUGGUCUUGUUAUGGAUUUGGUUCAGGUUUUCUGGACAUUUCCACACUUGGCUCCUGUAGUGGUGUGUCAGCUUCUGAGGCAGUAUGAAAGGAAGAUCUCGGUGAUCCUCUGAAGUCAUUCCAGUGCUCACUGUUGCAAGUGUAUUCUGCAGUCACAGCUGUCUCCCCUUGCUCAGCUUGCUUUUCCUCCACUUCCCUAUGGACUCCAGAAGAUGGCAGACUACUAGAACUCUAUAAAAGGAAGUUCUCCUAUACUUUAUUUGCUGAUAUUUUUGGGAGGGUAAAAGUAUAAUGUAUACUUUGGGAACAGAAAAAGAUAUUUGAACAUAAAAUACCUCUUUUAUUUUGUAAUAUCUGCCUCCUGCUCCCCCAGAAGUCCUUGAAAUUUUAUAUAGAUAGAGGUCCUCUAACUGCCACGCUGAAAUACUUGUUGAACACAAGUGCAAAACUCACGCGUGCUUUUAGGGUCUUUCCUGUUGCAUUUGCCACAUUUCUCCAUGUCACUAGCUGAGGAGUCAAAUACUCAGUUUGUUGACAAGUUUGUGGUAGUUUUUGCAGACUCAAGACAUUCCUGUUUCUCGUUUAGGAAUUACUUGAUCAUAAGAUUAAUCUUGGGAAGGGCGUACCAUUCUUUAGAGAAAGAGCAAGGGAGCUUUGCACCAAGGAGUUUAUGGCUGGUUUUGGUCUUCUUAUGAGCAUGUAUAUUCAUGGACUUUGUCAAUGUGUAUCUCUUGUUUCUUCCAGUUCAUAGUUCUUCACUGCUUUACAACAGUCUUUGCUUUCACCAAGUAGUCAGGCUUAUAUCUGGACAAUCUGAGCAGAGAAGCCAUUGUACGACUGGGAAAUAGCUUUUUUCCCCAGUUAGUGGACUCCUCGUAGAAAAUUUGAAAGUGGUAAAUUUUAUUGUUGGUCUUUAAAUUGUCCAGUUUAAGUCUACACUAAUACAAUAUGAUUUCCACACCUGCGGAAAUGUCAGGCUCAGUGCUCAAGAGUAGUACAGGGAGCAGAACUUAGAAAACUGUUAGGAAAAAAAAAUACAGUAUAGAACAGAAAACAGCAUAAUGCCUCUACUAAUCUGUGGGACCACCCACAUGUUGAAUACUGCAGUACAGCUUUGGUCAUCUGUUCUGUAGUCUGUGAGGUGAAGGAAGACUAAGACUCGAAAAGAUACAGAGGGAUUGUCCAGGAUAACUGAGGUCAUCCUUCUUUCCCAUAAGAAAUGAUUGAAUAACCUGGGACCCUUCAGCUUUAGAAAAAGCAGCUGAGGAGGGAGUUACAAUUUCAGUGCCCUUCAUUAUGAAUGCCAUAGAAAGUGAAAUAAUAAGUGUGCAUUGUUUGGGGUUUGAUGACAUUGAAUGCUACUCACUGAUGGCAUGUUCAAAGCCAGAAAAAGGAUUAAACUCUGCACACAGCACCUAUUUAAACUAAAUAUUUGUUUGAGCAAUAUGAUGUUAAUGAAACAAAAGUUUGCCAAGAGUUGUUAAAAGGGAAGUUAUUAGAAUGCUUCAGAAUUAGAAAGUCCCUAGGUUGUAUAUUGCUGGAAACUAGUACUUUGAAGGAAGCAUUACUAGGUGCUAACUCUGGCCUCUUUCUUAAGCACAUACUGUAAGACAGUAAGCAGGACAAGAUAGACCUUUGGUUUGGUCUAAAAGGUAUUCUUGUACCUUAUAUUAAUGUACCAGUCUUAAUAUGUAAAUCUGUUAGUGACUUUGAACGUCUUAUUGUUUGCUGUCUGCAUGGUUUUGGGGAGAAAAAUGGAUGCAGCAUUUUGUGCAAUUAGUGUUUUUGAAGGAGUGUCAGGUGGGAUGAAUCUAGGAAGGCUUAACAGACUGACUGGGAAGAUGGUUUAUAGAAGAAAAGGAGGAAAAAAAAAAAAAGCCAGAAGCCAAGGCUCAAUUUAGUGAUUGCUGGAAGUCUGGUAAUAAAUCAGUUGGAAGAAGCUCCUGUAGCGGAUGCAGGCUGGGAAGGCAUUCAGAAGAAACGAAGAUGACCAGAUAUUUGGGCGUGACUGACUAGGUAGACCUGUGGGUUUUAUACCGGGCUGUGGCUGCAAUGUAACCUGUUUAAUUUUGCAAACACUUUUGCAGAGUAAGAACCAAUUUAAUACUAGUCUGUGGAUCUGGAUUGAGAGUCUUCAUGGAUAAGAGCUCCGUGUGCAUGUUUCACUUCUUCCUCUGAAGCCAGUCAAGUGCCAGUGCCUUUGUUAUGUAAUCCACAUCUACACUUAAAGAAACGGUUUGCAUCAUUAGACUUGUUCCAAUUAGUCUUAUAAGCCUGAAAGAGGUGAUUGAUAUUGUAGCGAGACAGACUUAUUGGUAGUCUUAAAAGCAGAGGAAACUGUCUAGUCCUUCUCAAAAAGCAAUCUGUUUGACUGGCAACUGCUUAACAUUGGAAAGGUUUGAAAAGGUCAUCUUGAUACUGUGAAGAAAGAGGCUAACAGUGUAUCUAAAAUGGAGACUCUGCUGCUGUUGCUUCCAUGCAUGUUACAAGAAUUGUGUAAUGUAGGGUAUUUGGGUGGUCCUAAACUUGGUUGUUUCUUGUGACGUGUACAUCCCUAUGUCAUGCGUCAGAGGAAGGAAAGAAACAGCAGUCGGGUGCCAUUGUUAGCUGCUCAAGAUCGCUUCUAUUUUGAGUAGUUAGUUAAAACUGUUCAUCUUGCAGCUCUGCUGUAAGUUGUAGUUCAUGUCAGCAUUUUUACGGUACUGGGAGGAACACAAUCAACUUCCUCAUCAAUUCCUGCAAGCUGGUUUAAUUACAAUUCUCAACUUUUUUUAUGUGGGUAGUAUGAAGGGACUAUCAAACUAGUUAACUACUGAACACAUUUACAGUUAGAUCUGAAUUACUUGCACUAAUUCCAAGUGCUUAUUUUUCUCUGUUUCAGAAUAAAUGGUGAUGGGCUUCUGGACUCUUUUUAGUUCUUAGGUACUCUAAAUAUCUGCAGGGAAGUGACUAGAGGCAGCUGCAAGGAUCAGCAAAUUGUUGAUCUUAAGGUUAACAGAUUAUUGUGGAUUCUGAAUGUUUUGCCUGACGAUGACAUUUGUGGGUUUUCCACACCUAUCUGAGUGUGUUUGAGCAGUUACAGACACUUAAUCGAAGUCAUAGGUAAUUUUUUUUCUUGAAAAUAUGCUAUCCUAAAAAGUCUUGCAUUUUACUCUCUUUUAUGGAAGCUGAUAGUUGUUAUCCACUGCACUAAAAGUCCUGUGGAAGGCCUUUUAUCUCUCUGAACUGCAAGAGAUUGAGGGGGGCAGGAGAACUGAAUCAUUUCUGGUGGUGGUUUUUUCCCUCAUAUAUCAGGAAGGCUUUUAUUUUUUACUGUUCUGAUGGUAUGUAUUUCCCUUCCAGCUGAUAUUCAGGCAAUGUCAGUAUGUCAGCUGUACUGAAUUCCAGUGUGAAGUUGUUAAAAUAUUUAACAUUUGACUAGCAGCUUUGGUCUGUUGCAGAGCAGGAGAGGGGUUCUUCAGUUGGAAAGCAGACAUUCUUAAUGAGAACAUAAAGGGUCAUCUAAUCAAUCUAAAAAAUCAGUUUCUUUCAACUUAUUGUUAAACCCUUAAUUUAUGGUUUUGUUUUUUUAUUGAAUUUAUUUUCUACUAAUAUAUUUACUACUGAAUUUAUUUUCAGUAGUAACAUCAAUAUUUCUGGCUUGGAAUAUGAAUAAUAUGUCAAUUACAUCAUUUGAACCACAUCAAGAGUUAGUUGAUUACACCAGAAAGUAAAUUUUAGUAGGUGUUUUAAAUGUCUGGUCUGUUUCAUAGCUCAGGCAAUCUACAAACAGGUCCUGGAACAAGCAUUUUAGUCAUCUGAAGUUAAGAGUUAUUUGUGGGGGGCUUUUUUUUUUUUUUUUCCACUUCUGAAUAAAAGAGAGAUUUCUAGACAGCAGGAUAAUUUAGAUAACAUUUCUUCCAAAGUUAUCUUAUUUCUUUCCCUUGGGAGAUAUACAUACUUCACAUUAAUUCCUCAAAAUUUUCUUAUAGAACGAAACUGAAACAGGAAACAAACAUUUGAAAGUUUAUAAAGCACCUGCAAAACUUUUCAUGAGUAACUGUAUGACAGUAAGAAUGACCAUUACUGUGGCCAUUAUGGCAUUCCAGAUAUGUAAAUAGUCCUUAGAAAACAGAAAAGAGCAAAUGUCAUUAAGGUGUAUGAAUUUGAGCCAGUAUCCUUUUAAAGAC